UGACCAUUCUGGUGGCCUAGUGGUUAGAGCAUCUCUCUCAGAUGAGGGAGGUUGUGGGUUUGAUCCCCGGCCUAGUCAU